ensembl:rRNA 5S_rRNA 5S ribosomal RNA
GCUUACGGCCAUACCAGCCCAAGAACGCCCGGACUCGUCUGAUCUCGGAAGCUAAGAAGGCUUGGGCCUGGUUAGUACUUGGAUGGGAGACCUCCUGGGAAUACCAGGUUCUGUAAUCU